rnacentral:rRNA from 1 species
GUCCACGCCCUAAACGAUGUCUACUAGUUGUCGGGUUUUAAUUAACUUGGUAACGCAGCUAACGCGUGAAGUAGACCGCCUGGGGAGUACGGUCGCAAGAUUAAAAACUCAAAGGAAUUGACGGGGACCCGCACAAGCGGUGGAUGAUGUGGAUUAAUUCGAUGCAACGCGAAAAACCUUACCUACCCUUGACAUGGCAGAAAACCCUGGAGAGAUUCGGGGGUGCUCGAAAGAGAAUCUGCACACAGGUGCUGCAUGGCUGUCGU